GAGUUUGAUCGUGGCUCAGGAUGAACGCUGGCGGCGUGCCUAACACAUGCAAGUCGAACGGAGCACCCCGGAACGAGACUUCGGUCAAGGGAAGGGAAUGCUUAGUGGCGGACGGGUGAGUAACGCGUGAGGAACCUGCCUUCCAGUGGGGGAUAACACAUCGAAAGGUGUGCUAAUACCGCAUAACGUAUGUUUACCGCAUGGUAGAGAUACCAAAGAUUUAUUGCUGGAAGAUGGCCUCGCGUCCAAUUAGCUAGUUGGCGGGUAAAUGCCCACCAAGGCGACGAUUGGUAGCCGGACUGAGAGGUUGAACGGCCACAUU
rnacentral:rRNA from 1 species